rnacentral:rRNA from 1 species
GACGAACGCUGGCGGCGUGCUUAACACAUGCAAGUCGAACGGAAAGGCCCUGCUUGCAGGGUACUCGAGUGGCGAACGGGUGAGUAACACGUGGGUGAUCUGCCCUGCACUUCGGGAUAAGCCUGGGAAACUGGGUCUAAUACCGGAUAGGAGCCAUUUUUAGUGUGAUGGUUGGAAAGUUUUUUCGGUGUAGGAUGAGCUCGCGGCCUAUCAGCUUGUUGGUGGGGUAAUGGCCUACCAAGGCGGUGACGGGUAGCCGGCCUGAGAGGGUGGACGGCCACAUUGGGACUGAGAUACGGCCCAGACUCCUACGGGAGGCAGCAGUGGGGAAUAUUGCACAAUGGGCGCAAGCCUGAUGCAGCGACGCCGCGUGGGGGUUGACGGCCUUCGGGUUGUAAACUCCUUUCGCUAGGGACGAAGCUUUUUGUGACGGUACCUAGAUAAGAAGCACCGGCUAACUACGUG